rnacentral:rRNA from 1 species
AGCGAACGCUGGCGGCAGGCUUAACACAUGCAAGUCGAACGGGCACCUUCGGAUGUCAGUGGCAGACGGGUGAGUAACACGUGGGAACGUACCCUUCGGUUCGGAAUAACUCAGGGAAACUUGAGCUAAUACCGGAUACGCCCUUUUGGGGAAAGGUUUACUGCCGAAGGAUCGGCCCGCGUCUGAUUAGCUUGUUGGUGGGGUAACGGCCUACCAAGGCGACGAUCAGUAGCUGGUCUGAGAGGAUGAUCAGCCACACUGGGACUGAGACACGGCCCAGACUCCUACGGGAGGCAGCAGUGGGGAAUAUUGGACAAUGGGCGCAAGCCUGAUCCAGCCAUGCCGCGUGAGUGAUGAAGGCCUUAGGGUUGUAAAGCUCUUUUGUCCGGGACGAUAAUGACGGUACCGGAAGAAUAAGCCCCGGCUAACUUCGUG